CCUACGGGCGGCUGCAGUGGGGAAUAUUGGACAAUGGGGGCAACCCUGAUCCAGCCAUGCCGCGUGUGUGAAGAAGGCCCUCGGGUUGUAAAGCACUUUCAGUGAGGAAGAACACCUGGUGGUUAAUACCCAUCAGGAAAGACAUCACUCACAGAAGAAGCACCGGCUAACUCCGUGCCAGCAGCCGCGGUAAUACGGAGGGUGCGAGCGUUAAUCGGAAUUACUGGGCGUAAAGCGCGCGUAGGUGGCUUGAUAAGCCGGUUGUGAAAGCCCCGGGCUCAACCUGGGAACGGCAUCCGGAACUGUCAAGCUAGAGUGCAGGAGAGGAAGGUAGAAUUCCCGGUGUAGCGGUGAAAUGCGUAGAGAUCGGGAGGAAUACCAGUGGCGAAGGCGGCCUUCUGGACUGACACUGACACUGAGGUGCGAAAGCGUGGGUAGCAAACAGGAUUAGAUACCCUAGUAGUC
rnacentral:rRNA from 1 species